UACGAAGGGGGCUAGCGUUGUUCGGAAUUACUGGGCGUAAAGGGCGCGUAGGCGGCCCUGUCAGUCAAGCGUGAAAGCCCCGGGCUCAACCUGGGAAUUGCGCCUGAUACUGCAGGGCUUGAGGGUCGGAGAGGAUGGUGGAAUUCCCAGUGUAGAGGUGAAAUUCGUAGAUAUUGGGAAGAACACCGGUGGCGAAGGCGGCCAUCUGGACGACAUCUGACGCUGAGGCGCGAAAGCGUGGGGAGCAAACAGG
rnacentral:rRNA from 1 species